AGAGUUUGAUCAUGGCUCAGGACGAACGCUGGCGGCGUGCUUAACACAUGCAAGUCGAGCGAGGCCCGCUCCUUCGGGAGCGGUGUCCUAGCGGCGAACGGGUGAGUAACACGUGGGCAACCUGCCCUCAGCUCUGGGAUAACCCCGGGAAACCGGAGCUAAUACCGGAUACGACCUCGGAAGACAUCUUCUGAGGUGGAAAGAAUUUCGGCUGAGGAUGGGCCCGCGGCCUAUCAGCUUGUUGGUGAGGUAACGGCCCACCAAGGCGACGACGGGUAGCCGGCCUGAGAGGGCGACCGGCCACACUGGGACUGAGACACGGCCCAGACUCCUACGGGAGGCAGCAGUGGGGAAUAUUGCGCAAUGGGCGAAAGCCUGACGCAGCGACGCCGCGUGAGGGAUGAAGGCCUUCGGGUUGUAAACCUCUUUCAGCAGGGACGAAGCGAAAGUGACGGUACCUGCAGAAGAAGCACCGGCCAACUACGUGCCAGCAGCCGCGGUA
rnacentral:rRNA from 1 species